UACGGGGGGGGCAAGCGUUGUUCGGAAUUACUGGGCGUAAAGGGCUCGUAGGUGGCCAACUAAGUCAGACGUGAAAUCCCUCGGCUUAACCGGGAAACUGCGUCUGAUACUGGAUGGCUUGAGUUCGGGAGAGGGAUGCGGAAUUCCAGGUGUAGCGGUGAAAUGCGUAGAUAUUGGGAGGAACACCAGUGGCGAAGGCGGCUUUCUGGCCUGUCCUUGACGCUGAGGCGCGAAAGCCAGGGGAGCAAACGGG
rnacentral:rRNA from 1 species